rnacentral:rRNA from 1 species
GAUUUGAUCCUGGCUCAGAUUGAACGCUGGCGGCAGGCCUAACACAUGCAAGUCGAGCGGAUGACGGGAGCUUGCUCCUUGAUUCAGCGGCGGACGGGUGAGUAAUGCCUAGGAAUCUGCCUGGUAGUGGGGGACAACGUUUCGAAAGGAACGCUAAUACCGCAUACGUCCUACGGGAGAAAGCAGGGGACCUUCGGGCCUUGCGCUAUCAGAUGAGCCUAGGUCGGAUUAGCUAGUUGGUGGGGUAAUGGCUCACCAAGGCGACGAUCCGUAACUGGUCUGAGAGGAUGAUCAGUCACACUGGAACUGAGACACGGUCCAGACUCCUACGGGAGGCAGCAGUGGGGAAUAUUGGACAAUGGGCGAAAGCCUGAUCCAGCCAUGCCGCGUGUGUGAAGAAGGUCUUCGGAUUGUAAAGCACUUUAAGUUGGGAGGAAGGGCAGUAAGUUAAUACCUUGCUGUUUUGACGUUACCGACAGAAUAAGCACCGGCUAACUCUGUGCCAGCCGCCG